rnacentral:lncRNA from 1 species
GGAGGGGAGGAGACACUAUGGGACAAGGGGAGGGGGGGAGACACUAUGGGACAAGGGGAGGGGGACACUAUGGGAGAAAGGGAGGGGAGACACUAUGGGACAAGGGGAGGGGAGGAGACACUAUGGGACAAGGGGAGGGGAGGAGACACUAUGGGACAAGGGGAGGGGGACACUAUGGGAGAAAGGGAGGGGAGACACUAUGGGACAAGGGGAGGGGGGACACUAUGG